rnacentral:lncRNA from 1 species
UCGGAAAAGAACUUGUUCGCGGUGUCCUGGAAACUAUCCGAGCUAAACAGACAUACGUACAUGAGCAUGCACGCGCGUGCACACACGCACAUGUCAUAAACUCAAACCACUGGAUUUCAGAUUGGCGAGUGCAGAGGAGAAAUCUCUCAGCCCUGGGCGAGCAGCAUCAGUGUGGAAUUCAAUGAUCGAUCCAAGGAGGAAAAGUGGGCUCAGGGAAUACGACGAACACCGGAAACUGGGACACCUCUCUACCUGCCAAGUGGUCCAGGCUGCAAGAGGAUUAAGAGAGCUGACUUCCUGUCCGUUUGUCGUGUCCUCACCUACCACAUCCCUCCCUCCACCUGUUAACUGCUGUGGGAAUGGAAAAGGAACCCUUUGGGUUUGAGUGCUCUGGGUAAAGCCAGACGGACGGAUUUGGUAGCUUCUGGCUUCCAAUGAUGUGCUGCGGCAGCUGUCAGAGCACUUAAUUAUUGCCUCUAAUAGAGGCAAAGAACAUGUCCUAAUGAGUGUUCCCCCCUCAUUCUCACCUGCUCCUGCCCUCCCUCCAGCAGCACUAACGCACCGGAGCUAAGCUAAUUGGUAAAGCUGGUCUGCUCAUUCCAUCUCCCCACAGAGAGGUGCGGGUGAGGUGAGAGGAUGAAUAGACCAGAAAUUGCUAAAACAUCAAAGGAAAGUGCAUUACAAUCUGGGUGGAGGAGCUGAAGUCAAAGGGUAGGGUCAGAUGGGUCCUAGAAGCAUUUAUUUUUUUCUGGUGGAUCCAAGCAUGGGAUGCUGAGAAAUAGUCUCUGACUAACCUGAAUGAACAUUCACGAUCCAUUAUAUACAAAGAAAUAACAUUGUGUUGGGCUCAAAUUCAAAAUGAGUUUCAGGAUUAUAUAUACUUCAUCUAUCUAUCUACAUAUGUAUAACUAUAUAAUAUAUAAUAUGCAAGAGAUAGAUAUAGAUACAUAAAGCUGAAAAGUCAUCUAGUCUAACCUUCUUACUUGAGGAAACUGAGGCUUUAAAAAUUAGCAGACCUAGGCUUUGAAGGACAAUAUUCCCUCUCCAAAUACUUCAGUAUUCUUUCCUUUGCAUCAUAUUCCUUUCCUCGUGGAUCUUAGAGUGUAAAGGAACCUUCAGGCAGUUACUAAUCAAAAUAUUUAUUAAGCACUUACUAUGUGCCAGGCACUGUAUUAAGAACUGAGGAUGCAAAUACAAAUUAAAAACAAAGUCCCUGUCUUCAGUUUAUAGUCUAAAGGGGUAAGAAAGAGUAUGUGUGGGAGGAGGGAAGGAUGUUAAUGGUAAGAGUUCAGGUGUGAUUCUCUGCACUGGAUCUGAGUCCUACCCUAAGCCAGUGCUUUCAGGAUUUUUGUCUAGUUUACAACCAUCUGCACAGAAAGCAACAUUUAAUACUAGUCGAUGGAGAGACAGCCUAGUAGUUGCUCUCAAGUGAGGCAGGGAAUAAAGAUCUGCCUAGAUUUAGAGCUGGAGUGGACCUUUUGUGGUUCAUUUAUAAUCUCUUCUUUUAUACAAGAAGAAACUAGGUCCCUGAAAGUCUAAGUGAAUUGAACAAAGGCAUGAAAGUAGACUCAUAGGAUUGUAGUGUAAUUUCUCUCCAAUGUUUCUCUAGAAAAGACUAUGGAAAAUAAUGCUUAUGGGAGCAGUGGAGCAUGUAUCCUUGCAAGGGAUUCCUCACAGGGAGAUUCAGUGCUGAUUGAUGUUAGAAGGAGCCUCUCGUAACUAAAGAAGCCCAGCAAAGAAGUCAUAAUACAGAUUCAGAGACAAAAAUUUACCAAAAAAUUUUUGGAAAAUUGAACAAUAGACAAAAAUCUUUCAUUCUAUUUGUAAAGAUAAAAGAUCACAAGAACAAAGAAAACAUCUGUUUGAUGAAAAAUUUCUUCAACCCCAGUAUUUUAGUGAAAAAUUAUCUUCUGUUGUAGUUGUAGCCUUGAAGAACACAUGAAUGAUGAACAUUCUGGAAAAAGGAAUGCCAAGUUGGAGGGUAAGAAAGUGAAAAGAGUCAGGAUUGGGAAGCAAAGAUAGGGCUAGAUACAGAAGUCAUUCGGGAAUGAAGAAAACAAUAAAAAUGGUCUGGUCACUUGUUAUAUCAUUAUAAUAUGAUAAAAGAAUAACACAAUUGAGAUGCAAUCAGAGAAGUAAAACCAAUUUCUAUUGUAAAUGCCCUAGAUGGUUAUAAACAUCAACUGCAUUUGAGAAUUACCAAUUGAUUCAGAGGACUCUGAUGCCCCUAAACCAGUGAUGAAAUACAAGGGAUGCUAUGACAAAGUUUUUCAUGAAACUGAAAACUGUUGAUGUUUAGAGAGUAUUGGAGAAAUAGUUAAAUUGGAAAAUAAUAUAGUCAUAAAAUCCACAAGUGUAAACCAGUAGCACAACUCAAGAACAAACUACAAAUAACUGAAGGAA